GGCGGUGUGCCCGAGUGGCCAAAGGGAGCAGACUGUAAAUCUGCCGGCUUCGCCUUCCCAGGUUCGAAUCCUGGCGCCGCCA
rnacentral:tRNA from 1 species